GGAGGAUCCAAGCGUUAUCCGGAAUCAUUGGGUUUAAAGGGUCCGUAGGCGGUCUAGUAAGUCAGUGGUGAAAGCCCAUCGCUCAACGGUGGAACGGCCAUUGAUACUGCUGGACUUGAAUUAUUAGGAAGUAACUAGAAUAUGUAGUGUAGCGGUGAAAUGCUUAGAGAUUACAUGGAAUACCAAUUGCGAAGGCAGGUUACUACUAAUGGAUUGACGCUGAUGGACGAAAGCGUGGGUAGCGAACAGGAUUAGAUACCCUGGUAGUCCACGCCGUAAACGAUGGAUACUAGCUGUUGGGCGCAAGUUCAGUGGCUAAGCGAAAGUGAUAAGUAUCCCACCUGGGGAGUACGUUCGCAAGAAUG
rnacentral:rRNA from 1 species